rnacentral:rRNA from 1 species
AGAGUUUGAUUAUGGCUCAGGAUGAACGCUAGCGACAGGCUUAACACAUGCAAGUCGAGGGGCAGCGCGGAGGUAGCAAUACCUUGGCGGCGACCGGCGCACUGGUGAGUAACACGUAUGCGACCUGCCCCGGACAGGGGGAUAAACCCGGGAAACUGGGCCUAAUACCCCAUAUGCCUCGAGGACGCAUGUCCUUGAGGUGAAAGAUCCGUCGGUCCGGGAUGGGCAUGCGGCGCAUUAGCUUGUUGGCGGGGCAACGGCCCACCAAGGCGACGAUGCGUAGGGGUUCUGAGAGGAAGGUCCCCCACACUGGUACUGAGACACGGACCAGACUCCUACGGGAGGCAGCAGUGAGGAAUAUUGGUCGAUGGACGAUGGUCUGAACCAGCCCAAGUCGCGUGCGGGAUGAAGGCCCUCCGGGUCGUAAACCGCUUUAGCCGGGGAGUAACGUGGGGGACGUGUCCCUCAGUGAGAGUACCCGGAGAAUAAGCAUCGGCUAACUCCGUGCCAGCCGCCGC